rnacentral:rRNA from 1 species
UACGUAGGUGACAAGCGUUGUCCGGAUUUACUGGGCGUAAAGAGCGCGCAGGCGGUCGUCCAAGUCGCGUGUGAAAGCCCCCGGCUCAACUGGGGAGGGUCACGCGAUACUGAUCGACUCGAAGGCAGGAGAGGGUAGUGGAAUUCCCGGUGUAGUGGUGAAAUGCGUAGAUAUCGGGAGGAACACCAGUGGCGAAGGCGACUACCUGGCCUGUUUCUUGACGCUGAGGCGCGAAAGCUAGGGGAGCAAACGGG